UACAGAGGGUGCGAGCGUUAAUCGGAAUUACUGGGCGUAAAGCGCACGUAGUCGGCUUUGCAAGUCGGGUGUGAAAUCCCCGGGCUCAACCUGGGAACUGCAUCCGAGACUGCAUUGCUAGAGUAUGGGAGAGGGGAAGCGGAAUUUCUGGUGUAGCAGUGAAAUGCGUAGAUAUCAGAAGGAACAUCAGUGGCGAAGGCGGCUUCCUGGACCAAUACUGACGAUCAGGUGCGAAAGCGUGGGGAGCAAACAGG
rnacentral:rRNA from 1 species